CAGCAGCCACGGUAAAACGAAGGGUGCAAGCGUUACUCGGAAUUACUGGGCGUAAAGCGUGCGCAGGCGGUUUGUUAAGACAGAUGUGAAAUCCCCGGGCUCAACCUGGGAACUGCAUUUGUGACUGGCAAGCUAGAGUGUGGCAGAGGGGGGUGGAAUUCCGCGUGUAGCAGUGAAAUGCGUAGAUAUGCGGAGGAACACCGAUGGCGAAGGCAGCCCCCUGGGCCAACACUGACGCUCAUGCACGAAAGCGUGGGGAGCAAACAGGAUUAGAUACCCCGGUAGUCCCUGUCUCUUAUAC
rnacentral:rRNA from 1 species